GUGCCAGCCGCCGCGGUAUACCGGCAGCUCGAGUGAUGUCCAAUAUUAUUGGGCCUAAAGCGUCCGUAGCUGGCUGCGCAAGUCCGUCGGGAAAUCCACUCGCCCAACGAGUGGGCGUCCGACGGAAACUGCACAGCUUGGGACCGGAAGGCGCGACGGGUACGUCCGGGGUAGGAGUGAAAUCCCGUAAUCCUGGACGGACCGCCGAUGGCGAAAGCACGUCGCGAGAACGGAUCCGACAGUGAGGGACGAAAGCCAGGGUCUCGAACCGGAUUAGAAACCCCUGUAGUCC
rnacentral:rRNA from 1 species